rnacentral:rRNA from 1 species
GACAGAGGGUGCGAACGUUGUUCGGAAUUACUGGGCGUAAAGCGUGUGUAGGCGGUCUCGUAGGUCGGAUGUGAAAGCCCCAGGCUCAACCUGGGAAGUGCACCCGAAACCGCGAGACUUGAGUAUCGGAGAGGUUGGUGGAAUUCUCGGUGUAGAGGUGAAAUUCGUAGAUAUCGAGAGGAACACCGGCGGCGAAGGCGGCCAACUGGACGAAUACUGACGCUGAGACACGAAAGCGUGGGGAGCAAACAGGAUUAGAUACCCUGGUAGUCCACGCCGUAAACGAUGGGUGCUAGGUGUCACGGGCUUUGACUCCUGUGGUGCCGUAGCUAACGCAUUAAGCACCCCGCCUGGGAAGUACGGCCGCAAGGCUAAA